UACGGAGGGUGCGAGCGUUGUUCGGAAUCACUGGGCGUAAAGCGCGUGUAGGCGGCUAAGCAAGUCGGGCGUGAAAUCCCAUGGCUCAACCAUGGAAGUGCACCCGAAACUGCAUAGCUAGAGUCCUGGAGAGGAAGGUGGAAUGCUUGGUGUAGAGGUGAAAUUCGUAGAUAUCAAGCGGAACACCGGUGGCGAAGGCGGCCUUCUGGACAGUGACUGACGCUGAGACGCGAAAGCGUGGGGAGCAAACAGG
rnacentral:rRNA from 1 species